rnacentral:lncRNA from 10 species
AAUAAUUCAACACCUGUACAUAAUAAAAUGUCUGAGCAAAUUAGAAAUGGAAGGUAUGGUAGCUUUGUAAUAUGUCACUUUGACUAGAGACCAAUAAUUUUUCCCCGCAUUCUCUUUCCUCUAUUUUUCCAGUAACAUUGGGCCCAGAAGAGAUAUAAUGUGCGUAAAGUUUGGAGGUCGGGGUGAAUAAGUCAUCAUGUUUCACUUGUGCUAGGAAGGUAGGAGCAGGCACUUUCACAGCUGAUACAACUCGUUGCUCUAUUGACUCACAUCAUCUAAGUAGGACAGCAGCAAGACCAGCAAUGGCAGUACCUUCUGCUGACUCUUCCUUCAAGUUCAUUGACUUUUGGGCCAGGUGAAAAGUUUCUAUGCAUUGUUAAUUGGCUGA